GGCAGGAAAUAAACAGGAUGAGCCUGGAGAAGUCUGUAGUGCCAGAAAAUAAGAAAGUGCUGGAAACAACAAUUAACAAAUGACAACACAUUGAUAUUUAUAAAGGAUGAACAAAAUAAUUUAGAGAAUAAAUACGCCUAUGCACAGUUCUCGGAUCUAAACGAUAUGUAGCUUGCUGAGGGACCAGAGUGCGAAUGGGAGGUGAGGAUCUGGAGGAUCAAGAGAUCUUUGGAGAAAGCUUUAACCUGAGACAAAGGAUCCAGUGACAAUGCGCCUAAGGACAUGAAGAGGAAAUAAUUUAUGGAUGGAGAACCCACUGGAGAUCUUAUAAUCAGAAGCCUGAAUUUCUCAAGUUCCUCAUUUCAGAGCAUAUUAUCACUAGAGGUCUGCUGCAUGCUUCCUUGGUCCACUUUUAUCCCUUAUUCCCCACUCUUAAAAUGCACCCUUCUACCUCGGAAAGAAUUCUGGUGUAUAUUUGU